rnacentral:misc_RNA from 1 species
AAAGACCAAUUUUAAGUAGCUGCCAUAGAUGUGAAUAAGCGAACAAAGGCAAGUUUUGCUAUUGAAGAGAAAGUGUCGGAACAAUCAAUGCCAUAGGUUUGAGCAUACCUUUUGUUAACAAAACAUGAUUUAAGAUGCACCACAGUGCCAUUAGGAUUAAUCUUUCCAGCAAACACUCAUUUACAUCCAAUAGCUUUCUUCUCUGAAGUAAAGUAACCAAAUUCCAAUUACCAUUACCAUCUAGUGUUACCAUCUUCUCUUCCACAUUAGCAUGCUAGCCAGGAUGAGACAAGGCUUCAUGAACGGUAUUAGGAAUUGAAACAGAAUCUAAAGAUGCAAUAAAGGAACUAGAAGACGAGGAUAAAUGAUCAUAAGAAACAAAUGAGGAAGUAGGAUACUAGAAGACAAGGAUAAAUGAUCUAAAUAGGAAUAUGAUAUAUACAUAGUUGACUUCCUUAGCAAGCUGACUGAUAUAUAUGGUUUCUUAUGUUAUAAGCAUGUUUAUGAUAUGAGACCACCGUAGAAUUCAGAUUUUAUGCCAAUGGUUGUUCUAUAUCAGCAUAACGGUGGUACUUUCUUAGAUAUAGUUGAAAAUUUUCCCCAUUUUGUGUAGGUAGUUUGUUAGCUAUAGUUCUAUAUCAUGAAUUUUGUUCAACUUUAUUGGGAUAACACAUCUGGUUAUUUUUGCCAUACUCUAUGAUAUCUCAAAACAAAUAAACUGCAGUUCAAAUUUUGGUAAACUGUGGUCUGUAUAUUCAUCAAGAAAAUAAUAACAGUGUUAUGCCAUUUUAUCACAUACAAUGUGUUCUAAAUUUUCACUAUAUGUUUCCAAUGUAAAAUUUAAUAUUGCAUAGGAUACUAUUUCAAGGUACCAAAACUACUCUGAUAUUCAAAUUUAAUGUCUCAUUUAGAAUGAUGAAGUUUUGAGUUCAAAUAAAUUUAAAUCAGCUAACUUGAUCUUUAAAGACCUUUAGUGUAUCUAUAAUAGAUUGUGCAGA